rnacentral:rRNA from 1 species
GACGAACGCUGGCGGCGUGCCUAAUACAUGCAAGUCGAACGCAGUGGGGACGGGUGAGUAACACGUGGGUAACCUCCCAUCAGAGGGGAUAACACUUGGAAACAGGUGCUAAACCGAUACUGAUGGAUGGACCCGCGGUGCAUUAGCUAGUUGGUGAGGUAACGGCUCACCAAGGCCACGAUGCAUAGCCGACCUGAGAGGGUGAUCAGCGACACUGGGACUGAGACACGGCCCGUGCGCCUAAGGGAGACAGCAGUAGGAAAGCUCAGGCAAAGUACGAAAGUCUGACCAGGGGACGCAACGUAAGUGAAGAAGGUUUUCGGAUCGUAAACGUCUGUUGUUGGAGAAGCAGGAUCAAAGCAGAAAGCCACGGCUAACUAAAUGACAGCAGCCGCGGUAAUAC